GGGCUCGAGGGAUGCUUCUUCCCCGCAGCUGGCAGCCGCCGCUCGGCGCGUCUUACGCGGGUCUCUUGCCUGGCUGGCGCCCACCCCACGCCGCCUGGGCCCUGCGGACCUGCAAACCCGAGGCCCGGAGCGGAUUUGCCCUUGGCGCUUUCCCGGGCUUGGCAGAGGGGUUCCCGGCCGGGAUCUCUGGGGUCGCACUGGCGACGCGCAGCGAAGAAAAGCGAGGAGCUGCGUCCGGCCAGGGUGCUCUCCCAGCGCGAGGAGGCGGGAUGCGCUCGCCGGGGUCGAGGGGGCGCCGCUGCGGAAGCCGGGCCAGCGAACCGGCGCGCGAUCUCCCCGAGUCCUGGGCGCUUUGGCCUUAGAUGGAAAGCGGGGAAUGGGGUAGGGGCCUCUGGACCCUCCUAACGUGGAUUACUUGGUGCGUGUCGGCCGGGCUCGGAUGACCCACGACCUCGUCUCCAUCCUUGGAUUGAUGUGUUCUAACAGUCGGGUCGCUUGCCUGGAGGUGAACGCAGAGGUUUGUGGCUGACCUGGGUAGUUGCUUCAGACCGAGAGAGAAGGACCAGAUGAAAGGCCUGAAAGGCAGGACAGGUAAAGAGCUGCUCCCCUUCACCCACACUUCCCACCAGGAACCUUCAUGGAGUCAAAGUUUGCAACCAGGACCCCCUGCAGCACCUGGCUCAGAUAGGACCCUCUCUUAAGGAGCAAGAACUCUGGAUUUGAUUGAGAAGUCUUAUUUUGGAGAAUAAAGAAACUUCUGGAUUUGAGGAGAAAGCAAAGACCUGCGCCCUGAGGAAUAGUCUCUGUGUUGGCCUGUGUGAACGGGAGGCCACCUACAGUUGAAGAAGAUGCCAGGAUCCCGGACGUUAGUCUUCCUUCCAGUGGGAGAUGUUUCUUCUGCUGCUGCCUGGUCUUAAGAACCCCCGACACCAAUCCUCGGGGACCAGAGGGCUUCCCGCCACACCCUUUCUUGGCCCCCCGCCCCCCAUGUCUGCUGUGCCUUUGGACUCAGCAUUUCUUCUCGUUUGCUCCAUUAUCUCCCAGCCGGAUACAGAGUGAACAGUUAACUACACGUCGGUCAAAUGGGAUCUUGCUUUUUUUGUUCCUGCUGCUUCUGAAGAGGCCGGUGUUUGUGCAUUGCUAUACAGGCAGCCUUGGAAUAGUGUCCCUUCUCAUCUCUGUGGGACCUGGUCCCCACAGCUUCCAGAGCGAUGCAGAUCUGGGCAGAAAUCCUUCAGGCUCUAAAGAUGGUAGGAUGUUGGAGGGGGCUUCGGCAAGGGGCUGGAUCCUGAAGGCUUGCGCUCCCCAUGUCCGGCUUUCGUGGUUUGGAUCUCACGCAGGUGUACAGCUGGAGGAGCAGAAAAUGCACAUGUCUUAUGUUGCUGCAGAUGCAUGGUCAGCUGGGAAGGCCCUCUUCUCCCAGCUGGCAGAUGGGGUCCAUGUGAGAACACAGGGCUUCACUACAGACUAUCCAGCGACCAGAGUUGGUGGUGUUUCUUGAGGACCCUCUCCCUCCAGUGUGUGCUGGUGACCCCUCACCUGACCACAGAUGGGGCCCCACCAAACACAAGUCCCGUUUGCUCCUUCACUCUGCAGCCACCGCACCUAUGGCUGAAAACAUUUCCUAGCGAUUGAUCAUGGUUCAGCAUUGUCCAGAAUGCAGAGCCAAAUAUGUCUGUACUUUCUCUUUCCGAAGCAAAUGGAUGACUUGCCUUUGUGAGAAAAAUUCAGGCCAGACAGAUUUAUCUUCCCUGAGUUGUAGGUGAUGCGUUUGUGUGACCAUUUAGUGAUGUCAGUGUCUCAGCACAGAAGCAAUGGGGUCCUUCCUGGCAUCUCAGAUUCACCACCAAACAAAUGAGGAGAACCCCUGGGGGAUGUUUUGUGCUGUUGAAAUGGGAAGCUUGUUUGUGGGCUUUCACCUUCCUUCCUUGACCUGCACAUGCACUCCUUGCAUUAGAUUCCUUCAAGUUUUAAGGAAAAGAGACCCACUUAUAUCACCUCCAUAAGUGCUGGUUUGUUUCAGGUUGCCAUGGAAACAAAGUAUUGAUAGAAAGGAGACGGUUGACUCGGCAGCUCUCCAUCCAGGCCUUCCCAAGAAGCCCGAGUUGUUGGAGACACCCAGUCUCGGUAGGUGGUGUCCAGGGAUAGCAAAACUGAACCACCGUGCUCGUCUUGAGCUUCCGUUAGCAUCAGCGUCUGCGGCUCCUGAUUCUAGGAGUCUGCCCAGGUGAUGAGCUGAUGGUGACUCCCAGUCUGCUCAGAAUCGAGGGGUUUUCCGGGAUGCAGGACUCAUAGUGCUAAACUUGGGACAGUCCUAAGCAAACUGGUCUCUCUACUGGGGGACUCGAUGGCCCUGCCUCUGCUUCUGCUUCACCUGCUGUAACCGGCUGAUGCCCUUGAUUGGUUGGCCCGGGUGCCAUUCAGAGCCCUUGUAUCUGGCCGCUUCAUUGGCUGUUGGGCAGCCUGUAGAUGGACCAGGCACCAACCAAUCUUGACCCCAUCAGUUGUCUCCAGGGUACUGGGGUUGCAUGAUAUUGAAUAAAAACCAGGCUGUAAGGAACCAUCUGAGACCACAUCCUUCAGAAGCAUGCUGUGGACAGGUGGGCAUGACAGGCAUUCAAGGUACCAGGGAUUCCUUUCUAAUACCAUCCUACUUAUAAAGGUGACGUGAACCUUUUCUGUUCAGAGCAAAACAGUUCAUUACAAAACCAAAGCUAACACGGACACUGGGAACAAUGGAAAAAAGAAUAUGGGGUGUGUGUGUGUGUGUGUGUGUGUGUGUCUACACACUGUGUAGAAUAAUUAGCCAAGAAGACAAUUCUGCAUCUUAGCUAGACACAGGCAAAGAGCUAAAUACCUUUGGGAUGGUGUUGUCUGGAGAACGAAGGAGUUGGCUGUAAGACUUCCUGAAAUUCCUUUGAACUCCAGGGUCCCUUAAAAUAUCAGGGGCGUGUAAACUGGGCCUAAGUGUGUACUUUCUGUCUGAAGUCUCCAUGAUAACUUUGAGCUCAACUCACAUCGUGUGAAUGGGGCCCCCCCUCCCCUCCCCAGCUCACCCUUACCUUUCCAGACACCAGCUUUAUCUGGGAUAAGGCAGUGGAAUCUGGUGGCAGUAGCAGGGGAUAGAGGAGGAGAAAGGAGGUUGUGCCAGCCGAGCGUGGGGUGUUUAUGACAAGCGAGAAAAAUCUGGAGGCAAAUUACAGGUUCUUUGCAGGUACGUUAAAGCCAGGCUUUCAGGCUUGCAUGCCAUCCUGAAGCUGUUGCUUCUUGUCGGGGGAUCAAGUCUCUAUCUUUUCUGCUGAAAGACAGGGAUGAGCCUCUGGAGCCUGGAACACGGGCCUCCAGCUAACCAUGCUCGUCUUGCGUGAUGGGACCCCGGGAGGUCAUCGCCUGCCAGCGUGGAGAGGAGCGCGCAAACGUCUAGAAAUGACUCUCUCAUUACACACGUGUAGAGAUUUAAGACCCGAUCUCGUGCACCUGGGUUUUUGCCCCUGUUCUGACUCUCCCUCCCUUCAAAGGAAUGCUAGCCAGCUCCUGGGGUGUCAUUUUUCUUUUUUAAAAGAUGGAUUCAUUUCAGAUGUUUCCUUCAUUUAUACCCCACACACGGUCACUGGUUCCAGAAGAAGUCCCACUGCUGUGCCAAAAGCAACAAUCUCCUCUUUUUCUCUCUUUUCUAAUCUUCUCAUCCACGUCGAAUCCCAGAUUCCCAGAGCUUGGAGUGGUCUAAAGCAUCACUCUUAUCUAGAUCCACCUCUGACUAACGCAGGAAUCCCAUUUCCAACAUCAGAUGAGGGGUGGUCCAGCCCUGGGGGAGGCAGCCUUUUUGGUAAAAUGGGAGAGAACUGGGAGAGAACAUUGGAUGAUAUUCAACCUGCUGGGGAAGCAGAAUUUUAAAGAGCAGUUCAUGGGCUGCCAAGUGUCCAUGAAUGUCAAUUUCUUCAUCAGAGCCAAAUGCAUCUUACUUCUGCAUCCAGGUGUGUGUCUUAUGCUGAUAAAAAGCACAGAGUGGGGAGACAAGGAGACCCGAGAUUUUGUCUCAGGAAGUCCCCCUCCUUAAUUCCUUCCAUGUGAAAAUGAGGAAGUCAGGCCACAGGUUCCCCAAAGCCUCUUCCCGCUCUGCCGAACACAAUGCCGCCAUGGGAUAGAAUUCAUGACUUAAAAGAUUUGCUAUUUUUAAAAACCUUUUUAUAUUGGAUCAUAGUCGGUUAACAAUAUUGUGUUAGUUUCAGGUGUACAGCAAAGUGGUUCCGUUAUGCAUAUACACGUAUCUAUUCUUUUUCAAAUUCAUUUCUCAUUUAGCUUAUUACAGAGAAUUGAGGAGAGUUCCCCAUGCUAUCCAGUAGGUAAGACUUGCUUGUUUCUUUUUUCCUUUCAAAGCUCUAGUCCUGCCUUAACUUCAGCUUGCUUCACAAGCAAACCUUUUCUCCGGGUCUCAGUUUUCUCAUCAAUAAAAUGGGGGCAGGGGGAGGGUGGUCUUGACCAUCCCCCAAAGUUCCUUGCGUGUGCCAAGUUCUGAGUCUUGCCGGACGCAGCUGACGUCUGACAGGUAGCUCUUUCUCCCUUUGCCUUCGGCUGCACAAGCCAAAAACAGGGCUGUCCCGGGAAGUCCAUUACCAGAGACGACUUCAAGGCUGUUUGCUCUUGUUGUCAGCUGCGUGGAGCAAAAGUUUGUCGAGGGAGAAGGCAAAUAGACAUACAGGCUGAUGACAGGAGUGGGCAGGGGGGCUGCUGUUUGCCUGGGGUGACUGGGAGGGGGCAAAAAACCUGCCUGCCGUUUUGACCAAUAAAUAAAAACUGGGAGCUCUGCGUGGCUAAAACUGCAGGGGUUUUAUUAGUUUGCUUAGUGAAAGGCAAAUAUUAAGUCUUAAGUUGACCCGUCCUGGGACCUGCCUUUUGGCUUUUGUAUGCCGUCCGGUGCCGAUCGCCGUGUACUCCAGGUUAUCAGGUUCUGUCGAAGGGUUUUUAAAAAACAGUGUUUUCCCUCUCCUCCUUUCCUUCCCCUUUUGCCUGCCCCCUAUUCCCACCUUCUGGGGUAACUCAGGCCUGGGCUUUGGAGAGGCGGGGAGAGCAGGAUGAGGAAGGCUGGUCAUCCUGGCCUGAAGCCGCCCGUGUUCAGGGCUCAGGCUGCCCAGGAUGCUGUCCAUGACCGUGAUUCUGCGGCUCAGGGCUGUGAGCCCACCAGGUGGUCCUUGGGGGUCUCCUCCAUCCUCUGCCGUGAGCUCUUCAAAAGGUAGGUCCCAGGCUGUUGGCCUAAGCUCUUGCCUCUCCUUAAACUUAAAGUAAGCGUCAUCACAGCCAUCAGAAAAAAAGAUACAGAUCCCCCUUUUCUAAGUGGUUUCGCAGGGACAGAUGAUUUCCGCCUGAUGUGCUGAAAGGUGAACUGACAGGCUUGUCACACUCCAUGUGGGGCAGGCUGGGACCUGGACCCAGGACCCUUUGCUGCAGUGCUUGCACCUGGACAGACGUCUCCUCGAGCACCAAAAUGCAAAGAAACUAUAAGGGACUAAAAAUAACUGUGUGCAUAUGCAGUUGGGGUAAAUUCUGGACAACAAGAUACAAAAAGACUGAAAAGCCCAACUGCCACUCCUGAAGAGCCGGAGGCAAAGACAGGGUGUCAGGAGCAAAGGCAGGUCACGGCGCACGCCCCGGCACACAACCCCACCGAAGGGGUGGGCAAGCCAGCCAAGCCACCCCUCUGGCCCGACCCCUGGACCCACCCCUACCCUCACCCCACAUAAAGAACCAGCUCACCCCACCCCACCCCCACCCUGGGAGUAAGCAAGGGGACCUGCUCUCACUGCCCCCUGCUGCAGCAGGGGCCCCAGGAAAGCCUUGCCUGAAUUUCUUGUCUGGCCUCUGAUUAAUUUCUGUUGACUGGGGACAAUCAGGAACCCUGGUCGGUAUCACACAGAGUGAGAUAGCCAGCCCCCCAGGGGCUGGACAGCCACCCAGACUAUCCAGUUUCCACGUAUGAGCUGCCAUGAAACUAAACUAGGUGGCAGGUUCUUUACCCUUCGCUGUAAACAUCUUCAGUCUGUUGUAAAGCACUCCAGCUCCGGGGUACCUGGGUCUCCUGGGUGGCGUUCGUUGAUACCCACCCACUGUGGGGUCCAGAGCACCGAGGCACAUUGAUCCACGUCAGACCCCUGUGCCCUUUUCCAGGCCACCCUGGUGACCGUCUGUGGAGAAGGCAUCUUACCAGUCCACCCGGGUACAACGGUUCCCCACCACUACUCAUGCAGUCAAAGAGUUGGGAAUGUUCUGGAAUUGCUUAAUUAGGAAAGUUCCUUUCACACUCCAGUGGUGAUUUUUGAUUGGACUCAGCAUGAGUUUUAAUCCUCUGGCAAUUCUCCCUGAAUGAGUCUAUGCUUUAAAAGAUCCAUGUUGGGCAGCCAGGCUCCGGAAAUCCCCUUAAUCCUUCAAGGCUCAUUUCAAAUGCCCUCUGCUCUAGGAAGUCUUCCUGGGUUUCUUUUCUCUCUCAACCAGUUGUGGCCUCUCCUUCUGUCACAUAUUCUCAUAAAGCAUCUGGCACUGGCUAGGUACCCCAAAAUGCUGAUGGCUCCUUCCUUACCAGAGCACCUUUUGUGUGUCAUUUACUGUGUUUAUACUGCACUUGUUUUAAACGUGUUUCUCCCAACAGUCCUCUGUCUGUCUGUGUCUGUCUGUCUGUCUCAUAAAAGCAGGAACUGGGUCACUCCUUACACUUUGAAAUUUAUCCCUAAAAUGCCCAAUAAUGUUCAGGAUUACAUGGCAGGCACUGUGAUUGACAUUUCAUCCUCAGAAAAUAGAGAUGUACCGGGAACCAUGGCUUUGCUCAGGUCUUAUAUGUGAGAGCUGGGGUUCAAAACCAAGGUCAUUGGAGACCUGAAGUUCAGAGAUCUUAAGUCGUAGCAUGGUGGCUUUUACCUGGUAUAGAUGUACAAGGAAGAUGUUGAGUUGAUUUUCCCUGUUAAUGAUCUGUGACUGUGUGUACCACUAAAGUUGCCUGUUUUCUUGUCUGCCUGUUAAUCAAUAAAGUGUUUUCUG